CCUACGGGAGGCAGCAGUGGGGAAUAUUGGGCAAUGGAGGAAACUCUGACCCAGCGACGCCGCGUGCGGGAUGAAGGCCUUCGGGUUGUAAACCGCUUUCAGCAGGGAAGAAGCGAAAGUGACGGUACCUGCAGAAGAAGCACCGGCUAACUAUGUGCCAGCAGCCGCGGUAAUACAUAGGGUGCAAGCGUUGUCCGGAAUUAUUGGGCGUAAAGAGCUCGUAGGUGGUUCGUCACGUCGGAUGUGAAAAUCUGGGGCUUAACCCCAGACCUGCAUUCGAUACGGGCGAGCUUGAGUAUGGUAGGGGAGUCUGGAAUUCCUGGUGUAGCGGUGGAAUGCGCAGAUAUCAGGAGGAACACCAAUGGCGAAAGGCAGGACUCUGGGCCAUUACUGACACUGAGGAGCGAAAGCGUGGGGAGCGAACAGGAUUAGAUACCCUGGUAGUCCACGCCGUAAACGGUGGGCACUAGUUGUGGGGACCUUCCACGGUCUCUGCGACGCAGCUAACGCAUUAAGUGCCCCGCCUGGGGAGUACGAUCGCAAGAAUUAAAACUUAAAAUUGAAAUUGAACGG
rnacentral:rRNA from 1 species